GGCAGCCAGACAGUUUUGCUUGGAUCUCUGGGGCGGCCACGUGGCCAUACGUUCAAUGCUCCGAGAUGUCUGUGCCCUGAGCCAGCCAGAAAAGUGACUUACAGCUGAAAGCAGGGUUUGAACGGCUUCUGCUGUGGGGAGGCCCCUCAGAGUAAACAGUAAGAAUUUCUGGGAAAUGUACAUAAGGCCAGACUGUUGGGAAAGA
ensembl:misc_RNA